rnacentral:lncRNA from 1 species
AGAAGCAUUCCUGCGUAAAUACUGCUGUAGCACUGUCAUACAAGCGUAUCCUUUCUUGUCGUAUCCUUUUGGAGCAGUGGCUUUGUUUUCUUUCAUUUUGUUUUCUAGAAAUGUUUGGUCUACCUUCUAUCCUUUAUCCAGAUUAAGUAUUUUUUUACUUUAUUUAAAUGAAACAUUUGUCAAAUAGUUUUGUUUCCUGGACAAAUAUUUUCUGUAUUUUAAAUUCCAUGGUUAAUUUUCUAUGCUAUCAUAUAAGUCAAUGAGUUUUUACCAGGGAAAGUUAGUGAAUCAGGUCACUUAUUAUAUACAAUUGCUUGACCACGGAAUAUGGUAAUAUUUCUUAUAUAUGUUAAUUUCUUCAACCUAAUUCAGGAACAUGCUUCCUGUUUUGUGUUAUCCCAUUUAGGUGUUGUUCUAGUUUCAUUUUUGUGGCUGGGACAAAUACCCUGACAAAAAGUGACUUAGUGAAGAAGAAGGGAAUUAUUUGCUUUUCAAUUUAUAGUUCAUUGUUGUAGAGAAGUCAAGGCAUGAAUCUAAAGUGUAAUAUCCACAGUCAAGAGCAGAGAGAAUAAAGCUAUAGCUUGCCUAGUGUAAGCUAGCUUCACAGUCCCCUUUCCUAAGCAAUGGUGCUACCCACAAUUGGUUGGAUAUUACAUCGGUGAACAGUCAAGACUAUGUUAUGUGCUCAUACCAACAUAGUCUAGAUAGUGCUUUAUUAAGACUUUUCCCAGGUAAUCUAAUAUGUCAAGUUGAUAAUUAAAACUGCCUAGCGCAGUUGUUCUGUAUAACAUAUAAGUUUUGACUGGGAAAUGAUCUUUUUCUUAUAAUAAUAAAUAUAUUGAAAAUUAAGAUUUG